UACGUAGGUGACAAGCGUUGUCCGGAUUUACUGGGCGUAAAGAGCGCGCAGGCGGUCGGUCAAGUCGAGUGUGAAAGCCCCCGGCUCAACUGGGGAGGGUCAUUCGAUACUGAUCGACUCGAAGGCAGGAGAGGGAAGUGGAAUUCCCGGUGUAGUGGUGAAAUGCGUAGAUAUCGGGAGGACCACCAGUGGCGAAGGCGGCUUCCUGGCCUGUUCUUGACGCUGAGGCGCGAAAGCUAGGGUAGCAAACGGG
rnacentral:rRNA from 1 species